rnacentral:rRNA from 1 species
UACGGGGGGAGCAAGCGUUGUUCGGAUUUACUGGGCGUAAAGGGCGCGUAGGCGGCCAGCACAAGUCAGUUGUGAAAUCUCCGAGCUUAACUCGGAACGGUCAAGUGAUACUGUCGGACUAGAGUACAGAAGGGGCAACUGGAAUUCUCGGUGUAGCGGUGAAAUGCGUAGAUAUCGAGAGGAACACCUGCGGCGAAGGCGGGUUGCUGGGCUGAUACUGACGCUGAGGCGCGAAAGCCAGGGGAGCGAACGGG